rnacentral:rRNA from 1 species
UAGGGAAUAUUCGGCAAUGGGCGAAAGCCUGACCGAGCAAUGCCGCGUGAGUGAUGAAGGCCCCAUGGGUUGUAAAGCUCUGUUGUUAGGGAAGAGAAGUGUGUGUAGGAAAUGACACACAUAGGACUGUACCUAGCCAGAAAGUCACGGCUAACUACGUGCCAGCAGCCGCGGUAAUACGUAGGUGGCGAGCGUUAUCCGGAAUUAUUGGGCGUAAAGGGUGUGUAGGCGGUUUAUUAAGUUUGUAGUUAAAGGCAGUUGCUUAACGACUGUAUGCUAUGAAAACUGGUAGACUAGAGUGUGAGAGAGGUCGGUGGAAUUCCAUGUGUAGCGGUAAAAUGCGUAGAUAUAUGGAGGAACACCAGUGGCGAAGGCGGCCGACUGGAUCACAACUGACGCUGAGGCACGAAAGCGUGGGGAGCAAAUA